UACGAAGGGGGCUAGCGUUGUUCGGAAUUACUGGGCGUAAAGCGCGCGCAGGCGGUUUCUCAAGUCAGUGGUGAAAGCCCGGAGCUCAACUCCGGAACUGCCAUUGAAACUGUGAGACUUGAGGACGAGAGAGGUGAGUGAAUUCCCAGUGUAGAGGUGAAAUUCGUAGAUAUUGGGAAGAACGCCGGUGGCGAAGGCGGCUCACUGGCUCGUUUCUGACGCUCAGGCGCGACAGCGUGGGAUCGAAACAGGAU
rnacentral:rRNA from 1 species